CACCGCCGCACCCUUUCUUCUCUCAUUCAUCCACAUCCUGGCCCCAAAGAUGGCAUCUCUUUUUCGGUGCAAAUGUUUGGUGUUAUUCACCGAUCUCACAUCACAAACGGGUCUGGCUAAUCAUUUAGGAGCAGACUAUAGCAUGUUGAUUAUUCAUGGCGUUUCAAGGGCUCAAUUGAGAAAGGUCGUUAGGUACAUCAGUGCAUAGAAACUUGCAGUCUGAGAAGCUUGAAGUGUCAUGUUGCGUGUUGUUUGAAGAGAACAUUUAAUAUUAUUGUUAGGAUCUGAGUUUGACUUGAUUGUGUUAUUUUAAUUAAGUUGGUAAAUGGAAGAAGAUAAAACAGAGAAUAAUUGCAGCAGAAAUGAAUGUAAAACAUUAUAACACAAUCAAUGAAAGAUAGUUUUCAUCA